GUCGUAUAGAACAUUCAAACACCAAAGGUACCAAAGACCUUGAAUUUAGUGUAUAGGUAUAGUUUUUGUCAUACAAAAGAGGUCAGUGGUUCCAAAAAAAAAAAAAAAAAAAAAAUGAAUACGAACACGAAAAAAUCGAAAAGACAUGUAUGCUUACUUUUUCGUCUUGGACACCGUACCAGAGUAGACGAAUAAUAUAAUUUACCGCGGAUAGUUAAUGUAAUAUUAUGAUAAUAAAAAAAAGUGCACAGG